UUCAGUCCUGACUAGGCCACCACGUGUGCACUCCGGCGAUGGUCAGCUCAGCCCCGGCAGCCUCCGGGCCCUCACCCGCACGCACACCAGGGGCCGGGCGGGACUUGGGCCAAAUGUCCAGCCCGAGCUACCGUUCCAGAUUCUGUGCCGGCGCCCACCUCCCGCACUCUGCCGCUCUUACCCGAAAGUCGUGGGCAGUGUCCUUCACCGGCUGCACGCGGUGCCCCUGGUGCCGGGGGUCGGCCUGGCAAGAGCAGCACAGCAGCUCCUUGUCGUCUAGGCAGAAGAAGCUCAACUGGCCGCGGUGCAGGCGGCAGAGGCACGGGGAACGGUGCCCGGCCCAGCGCGCGCCCUCGGCCUCUUCGCGCAGCAGCUUUUCCACCAGGUUGUUGAGGGUGUGGUUGGUGCGCAGGUCAGCGAGGGACGCGCGGUCCUUGCACACCGGACACGUGGGCGCCACCUGCACCUCCCAGCAGCGGGUCACGCACACGCGGCAGAAGUUGUGGCCGCAGCGCAGAGUCACGGCGUCGCGGAAGAGGUCGUAGCAGACGGCGCAGAGCAGCUCCUCCUUGAAGGAGCGGGACGGCCCGGGGGACGCGGCGGGGCCGGGCUCCAUGGCAGGGGUCGCCAGCGCCCACGCCCGCAACUUUGCCUCGCGCCCCUCCCACCUCACUCGCGGCUCAGGACCGGCCGGUGGGCGGUUCCAUGACCCUUCCCCAGAGCUGAGUGACAGCGGCGCUGGCCAACCGCGCAGGGGGAGCUCGGCCGGCUCCGCCCCGGUUCCGGUCGGCGCGGGAAACCCCAGAGGAGCCGGGCGGAACCUCUGUGCCCCGCAAUCCCGGCUUCCGUUUCCUCCAGUCUCCGACGGGCUAGUCCCGGGAAGCAAAGAAAGAAGAUGCACAAUUGUGCUGUAGGAAGGCCCAUCUUCAGCGGACCCUGAAAUUCAGAUGCUCUGCAUGCUAGCGAAACUACUGCAAAAGCCUACUAGCAGUGCUUGCAGCCUCUUAACUUCCCCCAUCGCAUACCCCAAACAUUCCCACAAGUGACUGCCAGAUUUUCAAACCCCUGCCAUCACUAUGUAAAUUUAGAGAUUCUUGUUUCUUAAAAAGGAAUUUGCCUGUAGCAACCUGCUCUCACUUCCUAGUUGAUGCUUCCAGUCCACUGUGGGUUCAGACCAGACAGCCAAGUUUGUUAGGACUGUAAAAAUCAACAAGGUGAAGCUAAGCCAACUUGAAAGGUGAAAUCACUGCCCUCUCCCCUACGUGGGAUCAGACACCCAGGGGAGUGAAUCUCCCUGGCAACGUGGAAUAUGACUCCCGGGGAGGAAUGUAGACCUGGCAUC